GUGCAAUGAUGUAUGUCAACACAUCAUUCUGAAAAAAUAUAUAGUGGUGACUUUCUGUUAACUGAGCACA
ensembl:snoRNA SNORD63 Small nucleolar RNA SNORD63